rnacentral:rRNA from 1 species
GAUGAACGCUAGCGGGAGGCUUAACACAUGCAAGUCGAGGGGCAUCACGGGGUAGCAAUACUCUGGUGGCGACCGGCGCACGGGUGAGUAACACGUAUGCAACCUGCCUCGUACAGGGGGAUAACCCGGAGAAAUUCGGACUAAUAUCCCAUAAUGAUAUUGAAAGGCAUCUUUUAAUAUUUAAAGCUCAGGCGGUACGGGAUGGGCAUGCGGAACAUUAGCUGGUUGGCAGGGUAACGGCCUACCAAGGCUAUGAUGUUUAGGGGACCUGAGAGGGUUAUCCCCCACACUGGUACUGAGACACGGACCAGACUCCUACGGGAGGCAGCAGUGAGGAAUAUUGGUCAAUGGGCGCAAGCCUGAACCAGCCAUCCCGCGUGAAGGAAGAAGGCGCUAUGCGUUGUAAACUUCUUUUCCAGGGGGAGAAUUAUCCCGAUGUAUCGGGAUUUGACGGUACUCUGGGAAUAAGCAUCGGCUAACUCCGUG